GAGAACUUUGAAGAGUGAAGUGGGGAAAUGUUCCAUGUGAACAUCACUUGGACAUGGCCGGUUAGUCGAUCCUAAGAGAUGGGGAAUCCUUGUAUCAAGGGUGCACUCCGCAUGAACAUCGAAAGAGAAUUGGGUUAAUAUUAUCGAACCAGGACAUGGUGGUGGACGACAAUGUUAGGAAAUCUGGAGAUGUCAUCGGGGGCUUGGGAAGAGUUAUCUUUUCUUUUUAAUGCAUUUGAAUCAUAACCACUACAAAAUUUAGAAUACCAAACCCCUAAACCCUUGAAAAUUUAACCCUUAUAACCCCAAAAAUGUACAUUAACUAUUACAUCUAUCCAUUAUUAGUACUAUUUUAUCAUCUAUGUUAACCCCAAUCACUUAUAACCUCUAUAAUUUCUAACUUAUAAACCCCAAAUAGCUAAAGCCUAACUUAUUAACCCUAAGCACCUAAUACCUAUAUCUCACAAGCAUUAAUCCUUAUAAUACUCAAACCAUAUAACCACUUUA
rnacentral:ncRNA from 1 species